GCGCUCCUUUGCGGAUUUUCGUUUAUCACGGGUGGUUUUGGUCCACAUUAACCGCGAUAAACGAGGGAUUACUGUAUUGAGACUGGCAGUAGCAGUUAAAAAGAACAUUGAAUAUGGUCAAAUUGACCCCAAGGUUAUUAGGAAGGUUAAGGAGGCUGUCUAUUUUUUUGAAUUAUUAAUCAGAUCAUAUUUGAUUAUUUUCAAAAGGAUUUUUUUUGCUGCAAUUUCACAUUUGUGCUCCCCAUGCAUGCAUUAAUUCUGUCAUCCGAUGGCUUCCCACAGGUGACCGUUUUGGCCCUUCAAGAUACAUAUGGAAAGAAAGUGCCCCGCCUCCCUCACCCCCAUAAUGACACAGUGACACAAAUGGUGCUGCCCACAGAAAACUGGCAUCAUUUUAUUACAUUACGAUCCAGUAAUCCAUAAAACAGUUCCCCCCAAAAAACCUGAGCCACGUUACUCUUAAGUACACAAAGCUUUGGUAUAUAAUUAGUCGGUUGUGUGCAUUUGCGUGGACACGAUGACAUGACACGAUUUGUUGGACUGUUUGACAAGCCCAUCACAGGCCACAAGCUGUAACAGACUAUUAGUGUGCUGUAAAUCACGGCCGUCCAUGCGGGUCAACCAACAUCUCUGCAUGGGCAGCUUUGCCAAAGUGCUGUCAACAGUCUCCCAACAUACGUACAUCAUAGAAUGAAUAACAGCUCUGCCACCUCGUCUCCAAGCAUGUAUUCACAAAUCUUUGCGAAAGUAGAAUUUGUCUGAUGAUGCUCGAGACCAAUUGUAUUUCUAAAUACACUAAAAGUAAUGAUGAACAUGUUCUUUGUGCUCGACCUAUCAGGAAAAUUCCAAUUGGAAACCAAUCUAUUGCAUUGAGAUAAUAAUCAUGAUCAAGGCAUGAUUGGCAUGAAGGCACGCCGCCUCCAUUUUGGAAAUGAAAUUCUACCAGCUUAGCCAUUUCCAUUGAGUCAGCACAGAGACGAGCGUGGCUCACUUUCAAUGUCAGCAGGCUGUUAGUUUAAAUGGAGUGUGCGAAUACAUUGAUAUUGUCAAGGCUAAAACUUUUUUUUUUUUUGGUGCCGUGUCCUACUUGCAACUACGUUAAAAAUUGAGAUGACAAGCAACAAAACAGCAGUUUAAAAAAACAAAAAAGCUUUGGGAUGAGCUGCGUAUCCAAAAAACAACUAUGAAUAAUAUAAAAGCCCUUCUAAUCCAAAUGUUAUAAAGACAAAUAUAAAGGACAAGAAAAAUUUCAUACAUACCACAUUAAAAGGUCAAUUAUUUAAAAUAUGAAUGCAACGCUUUACUUUUUGCUCCCAUUUUUUCAUGAGCUGUGAAAAGUCUAAGAUUAUUGCACAGGUGUGCCUCUGUUGGACCACAAUAAAAGGCCACUUAAAAAAAAAUGUGCGGUUAAGUUAGCGUUGGUGUCUGCUGAACAACAAAUUAUUAAAAAGUGUGUACUUGGUCAAUUUAAGAUGAGGGAGAAAAGGGGAUUUGUGGAACCUUGGCAGGAAUCAAAUGUUCCUGGCGCGCCUGUAAAGCGAUCAUU